CUCGCAAUUUAUAUAUGUUCAAUGUUCUAUGUUUCUUGUUUUGUCUCUUGCUGUUUUGUUUGGUGCCAUGAUUUGUAUUUGAUCUGCGCAGAAUUUGUAUUUGUAAUUCGGACUUCUGGGGAUGACCCUGAAGUCCUGCCCUGGAUGAAAGUCCUAGGGUUGCUUGAUUUGAUCUGCGCAGAAUUUGUAAUUUGUAUUUGAUCUGCGCAGAAUUUGUAAUUGAACCAUAGGGUAAGCAGACUUGCGAGAACCUUGGUUCCACCCUGGAUGAAAGUCCAAGGUUUGGUUGUAAUUUUGGUUUGGGGCACCAUUUCUUUGCCGCGGUUUGUCCUGUCUAAUGUUUGUGCUGUCUAAUGUGCUGUCAUUUGUGUUAUGUGUUUCUUAAGCAUCUCUUUCUGUCCCACAUUGCCCAUGCACGUGGCAUGCAUGGGUCAGGGGUCUUUUCUUGUUGCCCUAAGCACAUGGCACGGGAAAGGAGUUCUGCCAUGUGUCACGGGUUAGAAUGUGUUAUGUUGGAGUCCCCCGAUGCUGCUUUUCUGAACUCGAACCACUGCUGCAGCCCUUACAGCUGAGCCUGGCCCAUGUAGUUUAUAAUGUCAGACAGACCGCCAGAUCCGGACAGUGACCCAAAGUCUCCAAAGAAGAUUACGAGGCACCUCAGUUCCUGCACCUGGACCAGUGAGAGAGAUGCUCAGAUGUGAUACCUGCCGCCUGCCAGAACCUGGCCGAGACUGUGGACAAAGCUGCUGGACACUGGAAAAUUGAUUGCACCCCUUUGCCUAGACAAAACAAGGUCAGUCUUUUCCAUGUCCCUCUUCCACAGAGAGAAAAAAACUCUCACAGUAUAGGCCUGGCGAAGAUUGUUGUUCUUUGAGACAGCUGCCUCCAGCGGUAAUGGAGAAACUUGGGUUUGGCUAACUGUAUAUAGACUGGCUUCUGUCACUUUUUAGUAGAUUCGGACAAAAUAUACCCUUCUCAGAUCUCUGAAAUAUUACUGGUUGUCAGCUUGACAGCAUCAGUCAGUCAGAUCCACUAUAGACUAGUCAGUAUGUUAG
rnacentral:lncRNA from 1 species